rnacentral:lncRNA from 1 species
CAAGUGGACAGACUUGUUUGGCCAAUGCCCCUAGUUCUCACUUUUCUUUCUCCAAAGAAAAAAAUCAGAAAAGCAAAACCAGAGCAAACCAAACAUAGGUUAGAGCUAAUGAGAAGUACAGGAUGUCUGGUUUCAACUUUUAAAAGAUGACCACUAAAUUAGAUUGUAACUUCAGAGAGGAAGGAAAAUUAAGACUAUCGAUGAAUUCUUUGUCUUUAGCAGUGCCAAGAAAGCAGAGAAAAAAAGAAUCCGCAGAAGAGAAGAGACCUAGAGAAGUUGCUUAGUCCUCCCCCGCGGGAGGGCUGUACCUCAAAAAUGCCAUAUUGGAGGGACGUCCAGUUCUCCUAGGUUUCCAGGGAAACUCUGUCCAAGUUGUGGAUAUGUCAUUGGUUUGUUACCCUCUUUAUUCACUGGUCUUCUCUGUCUCAUACCACAAUGGCAAACCCAGAGAGAUGGACCGACCUAGUUGGCCUGGUGAUCAGGUUGCUACUAAUGAAGGGAUGUGUCAUUCUGCAGAGGCUGGAGAGACUUCAGGCAAACUCAACAGUCCCAAACCCUUAGAAACUUACUCUUGGAACAAACAUAUGUAGCUGAGUUCCUCUGUGUCAGGAGCUGCUAUAUAAAUGAGAGUUUUCUGAAUUACCUUCUCUGUAGAACACUAUUUAUUAAAAGAUCUGCCUGCCAAACCUGCCUUCCUCGAAAUAUCCCUUCAUGUGAAAGCAUUAUGAGAAAGGGUAAAUCUAAUUGUAUACUAUAAUAGUGGCAGUAGGUGAGUUUACGUCACACACGCUAGGAAACUGCUUUAAUCUUUCGACAUCUCUCUCUUUCCAAAUCAUGCACGCAUUCAUUCCAUCAUCAAACAUUUAUUGAAAAUCUACACACCAGACACUGUUCUAGGCCCUGGGGAUAAGAAGUAAUGAAAACAACUGUCCCCUAGGAGUCUGCACUCUAGUUGAGGGAGGUGCUGGCUAGCCUCUGUUUACCCUCCAGGUCCAUCUUUGCCCUUUUCUGUGCCCCAGGAGGCUAGCCCCGCACUCUACUGUGCCUUGUCCUCUGGGAGGGUGAUGGAAGGUAGGGAGAGUGGGAGAUCCCAGCGGGAGGUUGUAGUAUGGAAGCACUGGAGAGCUAGGCAUUUUCUCCCCGCCAACUCCUUCCAGGCUGCAGUUUUGGCAGUGGUUGUGUUCCUGCCCUCUAGCCACAGAUCCUGGGGGAUCCCCCUCUCCCAUAGCCACAGAUCUUGGCAGGUUCCUCUGACACCUCUCUUACCUCCCCACCCUUCUUGACCCUUUUUACUUAAUGAGAGGCAACCCAUGGCUGCUCAAUGCUGUCGGUUCUAUGUUGACUUAACUGUUCUUACCUCUUCUGUUACCCUUUGAGAAUGUCACUUCUUUUCUGCCAGGACCUUGACUGAUACAGAAAUACAGAAAAUAAACAAACAAAUGAGUUAUA